ensembl:piRNA 21ur-10232 ncRNA
UUUCUAUCGACGUGUAAUAUU